AUGCUUGAUCAUCACUCCACACAGCCCUCAAUGCAGGAAAUAGGCUGGUUUCUGAUGCACCUGGUGUCUGAGAGAAGCUUUGGUUCUUUCACUUUUCAGCUUUGCCCAGGCCCUACUCCUGAGGUCAGGCUUGUCCCAAGAGAGGCCGGGCCAGGGUGGGUGAUUAUCUCAGCGGUUGCUGUGAGCUCCAUCCAGCUCAGGAAGCUUCAUCUUCCAGAUCAUCUGGGCAACAGAGUGACCGGUUGGUGUGACUCAUAAACAACCCCUUCAGUACAGCCUGGUUGAAUAUGGAGUUGAUUCGUCUGGCCAGAAACCUGUACAGCUUGACCAACAGCCUUAGGUAGAUAUCCUGGCUCCUGGGCUCCUUGCACGGAACCUUGUUGGUCCUUGUUGGGGCGGAUGUCAACUCCCGUGAUGGCGCCUCCUGCUCGGCCAGGUCCGGAAAGCCACAUUUCUAAUUUCUAACAAGCCCCGGGUGGUGUUGUUACCAAGGUCAAUCUGCCACAGUUUAUAGAGGGCCGUGGAGGUGGGAGUGGGGUGGGGUAGGCAGAGGAGGGAAACAGGAGGCUGCAGUUGGGACAGCUGUGCUCAUCCUCACUUGUAAUUGACUCCUGUAAAUUGUCAUUAGUAAACCUCAACACCCACCCUCCUUCCCCAUCAAUAUGAUAAAGAACAUCAGAACAUCUGUGUUCUUGGUCUCCCAGGGAAGUCCACCCAGUCAGGACCCCAGGAUGUGGCAGGCAAGUCGCUCCUUCUCCCUUAAGCCUCAGUGACUCCAACUCUUAAGUGCUUAUGUUGGGGUGGGGGCAGGGCAUGAUGAAUCUGCAGCUGCUCCCCGCAUUGUUGGGGGAAGUGCAUGGUAUGUGAGGAGAGGACUUUCCUCUUCCUAGAACUUCUGGUCUGGUCCCCAGGGCACAGGUGUUAAUGAAGAUGGAGGAGUGGCCUCUUCCUAAUGGGCCUUUCAAGGCCUGCCAGAGCCAGCAGGGUGGGCAGGGGACAGGGAGGAACUUGUGCUUCCCGGCAGGGACAGGAACCUGCUGGAUGCACCGAUUUGACCUUGGCUCAUUGUAAACAUGCUCUAAUGUGGGGCGUUGAAGCCAAGAGAUGGGACAAUUAUCAUUGCAAGGGAAGUUAUCUUAAAGUUAAUUUAUAAAUUCCAGUCAAGGUCCUAAAGGAAUUGUUUGGAGGGAGGGUGGUAGUGAACUUGAUAAAUUCAUUUUAAAAUCACUGGUAAAUGGGAGAGAAAAAUCAAGUAAAUAAAGAAAAAAAGAAUGUAGGGGGCUAUAACAGUUAUAAAAGAUACACCAAUGUCAUGUAGUAGAAAGCCCAGAAGUCCCAAGUAUACUUUAAAUAUUUAGAAAAUGACACAUUUGGCAUUUCGAAAUGGAGAGGAAAUAAAUAUGGCUGAAAAAAUUAAGGAUUUGAUCUUUCUUCAAACCACAUGCUAACAUAAAUUCCAAAUGGGAUAGAGUUAAAUGUAAACAAGGAUACCAAACAAAUAAUAGAAUGAAAUAGAGGAAAACAUUUAUGUAAUGUCAAUGUGAGGGAGGCCAUCCUAAGUUUAACAUGGAAAUAGAAACCAUAAAGGAAAGAUUGGAAACGUGACUGCAAAAAGAUUUGUUUAUGAUACAAAAAUAUCAUAAAGUUAAUAAGCAAAUGAUAAAUUGGGAUAAUUAAAUGUAUAUCACACAGGGAGUUAAUAUCGGUACAAAUCAAUAGGAAAAAGACAUUCCCAAUAGGAAUGGGCACAGGGCAUGGAUAUAUAGUUUAAAAAUAAGUAGAUAUGGCUGAGCGCAGUGGUUCAUGCCUGUAAUCCCAGCACUUUGGGAGGCUGAAGUGGGUGGAUCACCUGAGGUCAGGAGUUCAAGGCCAGCCUGGCCAACAUGGUGAAAACCAUCUCUACUAAAAAUACAAAAAUUAGCUAGGCAUGGUGGCAGGCAUCUGUAGUCCCAGCUACUCGGGAGGCUGAGACAGGACAAUCUCUUGAACCUGGGAGGCGGAGGUUGCAGUGAGCUGAGAUCACGCCACUGCACUCCAGCCUGGGUGACAGAGCAAUACUCCAUCUCAAAAAACAAAAAAGUAGAAAUGACCCGUAAAUAUAUGAAACAACUGUAACCAUGAGAAUAAUAAAAGAAAUGUGGCCAAAUGCAGUGACUCACGCCUAUAAUCCCAGCACUUUGGGAGACCGAGGUAUGAGGAUUGCUUGAAGCUAGCAGUCCAACACCAGCUUGGGCGGCAAAGUGAAACCCCAUACCCACAAAAUGAGACAGUUUCACUCUGUCACCCAGGCUGGAGUCCAGUGCUGUGAUCAUGGCUCACUGAAGCCUCUGCCUCCCAGGCUCAAACGAUCCUCCUGCCUCAGCCUCCCAAGUAGCAGGGACUACAGGUGCACACCACCACACAACCAGCUGAUUUUUGUGUUUUGUGUAUUCACUAUGUUGUUCAUGCUGGUCUUAAAGUUCUGGACUUAAGCAGGCUGUCU
rnacentral:lncRNA from 1 species